AUUUUUAUAGCUUAAAAUUUAGAGCAUAGUAUUGAAGAUACUAAGGUAACGGGAUAAGUUUAAAGAUG
rnacentral:tRNA from 1 species